AAGGAUCAUUAAUGAGAACUUGCCCUCCGGGGUAGAUCUCCCACCCUCUGUUUACAUACUUUGUUGCUUUGGCAGGCCCGUCUUCGGACCGCCGGCUUCGGCUGGCCCGUGCCUGCCAGAGGAUUCAAAACUCUGAUAAUUAUGUCGUCUGAGUACUAUUAUAAAUAGUUAAAACUUUCAACAACGGAUCUCUUGGUUCUG
rnacentral:misc_RNA from 1 species